rnacentral:rRNA from 1 species
UACGUAGGGGGCAAGCGUUGUCCGGAAUUAUUGGGCGUAAAGAGCGUGUAGGCGGUCCGGUAAGUCGGCUGUGAAAGUCCAGGGCUCAACCCUGGGAUGCCGGUCGAUACUGCCGGACUAGAGUUCGGAAGAGGCGAGUGGAAUUCCCGGUGUAGCGGUGAAAUGCGCAGAUAUCGGGAGGAACACCUAUGGCGAAGGCAGCUCGCUGGGACGUUACUGACGCUGAGGCGCGAAAGCCAGGGGAGCAAACGGG